UUUUGAUAUUUUUACUACUCCAUGUGGCUCAACAUCUAAAUAACCUUGAUAACCAAAACGUCUGCUUGUUGAAUCUUCCCUGAUUGGGUCCAAUAAUGCAUAAUGGAUCACAAAAAGGCAUGUCGUUCGUACAUAUGACCACGGGGGGGCAGCCGUGGCUUGAAUGUUGAAUGAAGAAGACGACGACCCAUCAUGCAUCACUGCGUGUAGUUUUUCCGGGGAUGGAAAAACGUCCAAGUGAUUAUGGAGGGGAAUGAGAUGGCGAUGACCCAAGAAGACCUCCAGAGUUGGAUUUCGGAGACUGUACAAAAUAUGGGCGUGAUCCCCCCUGAUGUGCUGGAGCAAUGCAAUCUUUUGCAGCCUCUUCUGGAAAAGUGGAAGAAACAAGCUGACCGACUCCUGGAACUCAGCAACUCUGUGGCAGCGUAUGAAGCCAUCGUGAAGGAGCAGUACGCUUUUCUGGGUUGGGAAGACACAGAUGAUGAUGAGGAUGUCAUCGAAACGAGGAUGUCAUCCAAAUCAAGUCAUCGUGACGAGGAGGAUGUCAUUGAAAUGAUCUCAUCGGAAUCGAGUCAUGAUGAGGAGGAUGUCAUCGAAAUGAGGCUGUCAUCAAAAUCAAGUCGUCAUGAUGAGGAAGAUGUAAUCAAAAUGCAGAUGCCCUCGAAAUCAAGUCAUCACGAAAACCAUGCCACCAAAAUCAAGUCAUCAAGUGCUGGGAUCUCCCCUUCAUCGCCAUGUGAUUCUGAAGUAGACGUUUGUGGUAGUCCAUCAAGACGUUGCACUCCUAUACCAAACGGCAACUUAAAUGACAGUGACGGCCUUGUUAAAGUCUCUUUAACGAGACAGGCAAAGGUUGUCUUGACCAGACUUCCUGAAUGCGAACUUCAGGCUUCACGUCGGCAAAGUCCUGAAGAUUGCAGCAGUAACGAUGAGCACUCAAGCCUUGUUGAAUCUCAGUCAGAUCACAGAAUAAACGAUUCAGAUUAUGUAGUGGAGCGCUCAUCAAACAGUGACUCUGAGUUGAAUGACAGCACAAAUGAUUCCGAUUAUUCAGUGGCGCCGUCACCAAACAAAAGACGACGUUUCAACGUUAAAUGGCCUGUGAAGAGUCACGCGAGGCAAACAUCACAAUCAUCAGUGGACACGAAGACAAAGGUUGCCAAAAAAUCCUCAUGUAAAACAAGCCCAAUAACGAAGGACACCGUGAGCAACACUAAGACAGUGGAUAUGCAAAAAUCCUCCUGUAACUCAAAAUCGAAAGACAAUGACACUGGGAGCAAAACUAAAUCGGUGGAUACACAAAAAUCCGCUCGGAAAUCAAAGUCAACAGAAAAUGACACUGGGAGCAAAACUAAGACACUGAAUAAACAAAAAUCCUCAUGUAAACCAAAGUCAACAGAAAGUGCUAUUGUGAGCAACACUAAGUUGGUGGAUUCACAAAUAUCCUUGUGCAAAACAAACUCAACAGAAAAGGACACUGUAAGCGAGACACUGGAACCCGUCCCAGACAACAGAAAAGUAGAAACUGUGUGCGUAAUAUCAACAUGCUGCCAGUCACCAGAGGGAUCCUGUAAGGUGCCCACUAAAGUGCCCAAAACUAAGAUCGAAGUCAAUCUGAAGGUCUUGGCCAAGAUGAAAUCCAUGUGUUGGCUGCCAGGGAAAGUGGUGGGAAUUAUCAAAAUGGAUGAUAGGCUCAAAUAUAAGAUCCAGUUUGACAACGACACCAAGUGCCUCAUCUCCUCACACCACAUCGCCUUUCGCGUCACAUCCAAGCUGGAGUACUUGUACGUCGGCGCUCGAGUGGUGGUCGGCCGCAGCGAAGAUGAAGUUUUCCGGCCAGGCAUUGUGGCAGAGCUUCCAAGCAGAAAGAACCAACAGAGGUUUCUGGUCUUUAUUGACGAUCAGACACCAGUGUACGUCGGACUGCCUCAUCUUCACCUGGUGUGCAUACCUUUGGAGGACCCUAUGGAUGACAUAACCAACACUUCUCAUCGGGAUUUUGUGAAGGAAUAUAUAAAGGUCUGGCCUUACCCUCCCCUCGCCCAGUGCAAAAAUGGACAAAGCCUAAAUGUGGAGCUUGAUGGAGUUCAGCAAAUCUGUGUGGUCCUGCUGGUCGACUGUAGCCUGAUGCAGGUCCUCUUUGUGGGAAGUCAACGUAAGGAAUGGAUCUACAGGGGCUCGUGGCGCUUGGAAUACAUGGCUAAAAUGAAGGACUUCAUGUUUUUGGACAAUGGAAGCCAUGUGACCUGAAUUUCCGCUGUGUCCAAUCACAGCCAUCAUCAGUUUUUGGUCAGUCAUUUCAGAAGUAGCUGAAAGCGUGGGCCAGCUCGUCUACAAAGCGAUCCAGCGGCAUUUGCCUUGGUCAGUGUGCAAGAGGCAAGAGUUGAGGCAGACAACUCUUCACCCCUGCUCACAAUGCCCUGAUCAUUGGACAGUUCCUAGCCGAGAGAAACAAAAAACGUGCUGGAGCAACCUCCAUAUUCACUUGACCUCGCUGUUUUUUGUUUUGGUUUUUUUUUCCCCCCACCCCUCCUCAUCCAGGAGGAUUACUCCAAAGUGGAAACCUGCAGUUUGGAUAUGAACUACAUACUUUAUUACACCAGUCCUGGAGCUUUGCUGACACUUAGUACAUCCACUCUUAACUAGUGGAUGACUUUCAGGGGAGCCAAAGUAUUUAGUCUUAAAUCUUACAAGACGCU